rnacentral:rRNA from 1 species
UGGGGAAUAUUGCACAAUGGGCGAAAGCCUGAUGCAGCGACGCCGCGUGAGUGAAGAAGUAUUUCGGUAUGUAAAGCUCUAUCAGCAGGGAAGAAAAUGACGGUACCUGACUAAGAAGCCCCGGCUAACUACGUGCCAGCAGCCGCGGUAAUACGUAGGGGGCAAGCGUUAUCCGGAUUUACUGGGUGUAAAGGGAGCGUAGACGGCGAGGCAAGUCUGAAGUGAAAACCCAGGGCUCAACCCUGGGACUGCUUUGGAAACUGUUUUGCUAGAGUGUCGGAGAGGUAAGUGGAAUUCCUAGUGUAGCGGUGAAAUGCGUAGAUAUUAGAGGGAACACCAGUGGCGAAGGCGGCUUACUGGACGAUAACUGACGUUGAGGCUCGAGAGAGUGGGGAGAAAACAGG